CAAGUCGUGGGGCAGCAUGACUGUAGCAAUACAGUUGAUGGCGACCGGCAAACGGGUGCGGAACACGUACACAACCUUCCUUUAAGUGGGGAAUAGCCCGGGGAAACCCGGAUUAAUACCCCGUAACAUAAUGAAGUGGCAUCACUUUAUUAUUAUAGCAGCAAUGCGCUUUAAGAUGGGUGUGCGACUGAUUAGGCAGUUGGCGGGGUAACGGCCCACCAAACCUACGAUCAGUAACUGGUGUGAGAGCACGACCAGUCACACGGGCACUGAGACACGGGCCCGACUCCUACGGGAGGCAGCAGUAAGGAAUAUUGGUCAAUGGACGCAAGUCUGAACCAGCCAUGCCGCGUGGAGGAUGAAGGUCCUCUGGAUUGUAAACUUCUUUUAUUUGGGAAGAAAUCCACGAAUUCUUUUGUGGUUGACGGUACCAGAUGAAUAAGCACCGGCUAACUCCGUGCCAGCAGCCGCGGUAAUACGGAGGGUGCAAGCGUUAUCCGGAUUCACUGGGUUUAAAGGGUGCGUAGGUGGGUUGGUAAGUCAGUGGUGAAAUCUCCAGGCUUAACUUGGAAACUGCCAUUGAUACUAUCAAUCUUGAAUACCGUGGAGGUCAGCGGAAUAUGUCAUGUAGCGGUGAAAUGCUUAGAUAUGACAUAGAACACCAAUCGCGAAGGCAGCUGGCUACACGAAUAUUGACACUGAUGCACGAAAGCGUGGGGAUCAAACAGGAUUAGAUACCCUGGUAAUCCACGCCCUAAACGAUGGAUACUCGACAUACGCGAUAUACUGUGUGUGUCUGAGCGAAAGC
rnacentral:rRNA from 1 species